rnacentral:rRNA from 1 species
CAGCUCUCCGAGUUGUAGGGACGAUUAUUGGGCUUAAAGCGUCCGUAGCCGGCUUAGCAAGUCUCCUGUUAAAUUCAGCGACCCAAUCGUUGAGCCGCGGGAGAUACUACUAGGCUAGGAGGCGGGAGAGGUCGACGGUACUUUCGGGGUAGGGGUGAAAUCCUAUAAUACCAGGAGGACCACCAGUGGCGAAGGCUGUCGACUAGAACGCGCUCGACGGUGAGGGACGAAAGCUGGGGGAGCGAACCGGAUUAGAUACCCGAGUAGUCC